rnacentral:sRNA from 1 species
UGCCGCUGCCCUCCUUGGGCGUUUCCUCCCUAGACUUGGGCCGCUCCGGUGUUCCGUGGGCGGCCCCUUUCUUUUCGGGCU